rnacentral:rRNA from 1 species
AUUGAACGCUGGCGGCAUGCUUUACACAUGCAAGUCGAACGGUAACAGGUUAAGCUUACGAGUGGCGAACGGGUGAGUAAUGCAUCGGAACGUGCCCGGUCGUGGGGGAUAACGCACCGACAGGUGUGCUAAUACCGCAUACGUCCUGAGGGAGAAAGCGGGGGAUCGCAAGACCUCGCGCGAUGGGAGCGGCCGAUGCCGGAUUAGCUAGUUGGUGGGGUAAAGGCCUACCAAGGCGACGAUCCGUAGCUGGUCUGAGAGGGUGAUCAGUCAAACUGGAACUGAGAUACGGACCAGAGUCCUACGGGAGGCAGCAGUGGGGAAUAUUGGACAAUGGGGGCAAGCCUGAUCCAGCCAUGCCGCGUGUGUGAAGAAGGCCCUAGGGUUGUAAAGCACUUUCAGUGGGGAGAAAGGUUGUUCAGUUAAUACCUGAAUGAAUUGAUGUUACCCACAGAAGAAGCACCGGCUAACUCCGUGCCAGCAGCCGCCGUAA